GGAUGUGAGGCUGAUAUGGUUGUGAUAUCUGUCACCCCACUGAUUGUCAGGGUUGAUUCUGCUGAUCUGGCUGACUAGUAGGGUGCCCUUUUUCUCCCUCUGUGCUCCAAAUGAUUUCCUCCCGAAAAGGGUGAACUUCUCCAAAGAGGAUCCGACUUAUGUCACAGGUGUAGGAGUAGCUGCACUCCCAUUUGAAAACCUCCAAAUAAGUUCUCAAGAAUUGGUUUGCUAACAGAUGCCAGACCCUGUUAUGUUUUCC
rnacentral:snRNA from 1 species